rnacentral:rRNA from 1 species
UACGUAGGGUGCGAGCGUUAAUCGGAAUUACUGGGCGUAAAGCGUGCGCAGGCGGUGAGCUGUGUCCGAUGUGAAAGCCCCGGGCUUAACCUGGGAAUGGCAUUGGUGACUGCACGGCUAGAGUGUGUCAGAGGGGGGUAGAAUUCCACGUGUGAGCAGUGAAAUGCGUAGAGAUGUGGAGGAAUACCGAUGGCGAAGGCAGCCCCCUGGGAUAACACUGACGCCUCAUGCACGAAAGCGUGGGGAGCAAACAGG